UGGGGAAUAUUGGACAAUGGGCGAAAGCCUGAUCCAGCCAUGCCGCGUGUGUGAAGAAGGUCUUCGGAUUGUAAAGCACUUUAAGUUGGUAGGAAGGGCAGUAAGCGAAUACCUUGCUGUUUUGACGUUACCGACAGAAUAAGCACCGGCUAACUCUGUGCCAGCAGCCGCGGUAAUACAGAGGGUGCAAGCGUUAAUCGGAAUUACUGGGCGUAAAGCGCGCGUAGGUGGUUCGUUAAGUUGAAUGUGAAAGCCCCGGGCUCAACCUGGGAACUGCAUCCAAAACUGGCGAGCGAGAGUAGGGCAGGGGGUGGUGGAAUUUCCUGUGUAGCGGUGAAAUGCGUAGAUAUAGGAAGGAAAACCAGUGGCGAAGGCGACCACCUGGGCUCAUACUGACACUGAGGUGCGAAAGCGUGGGGGGCAAACAGG
rnacentral:rRNA from 1 species